rnacentral:rRNA from 1 species
AGCGAACGCUGGCGGCAGGCCUAACACAUGCAAGUCGAACGAACUCUUCGGAGUUAGUGGCGGACGGGUGAGUAACACGUGGGAACGUGCCUUUUGGUUCGGAAUAACUCAGGGAAACUUGUGCUAAUACCGAAUGUGCCCUUCGGGGGAAAGAUUUAUCGCCAUUAGAGCGGCCCGCGUCUGAUUAGCUAGUUGGUUAGGUAACGGCUCACCAAGGCGACGAUCAGUAGCUGGUCUGAGAGGAUGACCAGCCACACUGGGACUGAGACACGGCCCAGAAUCCUACGGGAGGCAGCAGUGGGGAAUAUUGCGCAAUGGGCGAAAGCCUGACGCAGCCAUGACGCGUGAAUGAUGAAGGCCUUAGGAUUGUAAAAUUCUUUCACCGGGGACGAUAAUGACGGUACCCGGAGAAGAAGCCCCGGCUAACUUCGUG